GAUUUUUAUUUUAAUUUUACCAACCCUAGAUGUUAUUAUAAUCUGAGCUAUAAACCCAUCACAACUGCUUGCUGCUCCUCCCAGAUAAAUAAUAUUGCUACGCAGCAACCAAACAAUCCAAUAUGACAACACACCAAAUAAUUUGUCUAACCUUCUUUCAUCUGUCUUUAAAAAAAUAAAAAAUAAAAAAUACUUCUUUUAUCUCUUUCCGUUAGUAAGAAAACCAUGUUGCAAUGAAUACUCAGUGUUGUAUGAUACUAGCUACUGGACCAAUUUUUAUCUUAUUUGGUCCUUGAUACAAUCUAAAAGUCUGCUUUGGAGUCUGUCAAGGGAGAUUUCAACAAACACUACAUAAACACUACUUGUAAGAUACAACUUAGAGACGCUACUUUUCUUUUGGGCACAAAGAGACACGCAUUUUUUGGAAUUAGAAAGAGACACAAUUAACUCUGUCAAAUUGGGAUAAACAAAUUUUUUAAACAAAAGCAAAAUUAGUUAUAUUUUAAAGAUUCACUCACCUAAUAUUGGCUUCAAUAAUAUUUUUCAAAUGUGAAUUAUCACCGUUUUUAAUAAAAUUUCCAAUAGUGAUUUCUAUUCAAAAGUUAUUUUGUGGGUUACAUUGAGCCAGCAACUCUAAUAGUGAUCAAAGGGUACAACACUAAAAAUCUCAUGUUGGGUCCUUUAAUUUUACCUCUUAUCUUAAUAAAUAUAUUUAUAUUUAAUCAAAAUACACUCAAAAUAGUGUUGUUUGCUGAACGAACUGUAAUGACAACUUGUCGAACUUGUGAUGAUCUCCAAGAGUAAACCGGUAAAAAAAACAUGUGUCAACAUGUCAAACUCAAUUGAAAUACCUUUACGGGAGAUGCUCUAAGAUUCUACAUUUGAACCUUUUUGAGAGGUCUAUAUUACAUUGUGAGAAUCCACCCUUAAUUAAACUUUUUUGAUCGACUAAAAUGCUUUAACUAGGGUUUUAGGCUCCAAAAUUUUAGACCAUAAAAAGACUUCAAAAUAUUUAACUUAAUUAUAAAUAUAAAAUAUGAUAGAUUAAUUCUAGAGAAUUGUUUAGCUUGAUUAGUCAAGCUUAGAGCCUCGUAUCCUCAAAUUCAAAUCUUGGAGUCAGUAAAAAUUUAUUUUUUUAUAAGCAUUAUUAUGCUAUUAUUUUUACUUCAAAAGACCUUGUUAUAAUAUUUGUUUUUGAUAUCUAAAAAUGUUGAGCUGGCCUGUAUAUUUUGAAGGACCGCAAACAUAUAAUUAAGGCGUGUAUAUAUAUUUCAUCCUUGCAAUUAAGGAUCGUUUAAAAAUUGAUCCAUGUAUUCGCUAAUCCUUGCAAUCAUUAAUCAUUUAAAAUUUCGUCAUUUGACCAACUUAAUCACUGAUGACGUGGCAAUCACUGCCACACAUGAAAUUUCAAUUUUGCCCUUAAGAAGAGGACAAAAUAUUGAAGAAAGAAUUGAAAACCCAUGGGUAAAAUUGGAAUUUCAUGUGUGACAGUGAUUAAGUGGGGAGAGGGACAAAAUUUUAAAUGAUUAAACAAUGCAAGGGUAAAUUGCCAGGAUUAGCAAUUAUAGAAACCAAUUUUUAAACGACCCCUAAUUGCAAGGAUGAAAUACAUAUUUAAGCCUAUAUUUAAAUACGAUAAAAAAUAGUUUAUGUACGGAUUUGAAAUAUGAUUUUAUGGCAUGAUCCUUUUCCUACUUUAACCAAGGUGAUUAUCGUGACAUUUCACCUCUUUUUUGUGAAAUUUCUUUUACUAGCAUCAUGGCCUAAUCUAAUUAAUAUUGUUAGCUACUUUGCACCCAAAAUUACGCAAACAAACAAUAAGAAAAUCUUCACGAAAUCCUACCCAAUAUAUCACAAAAAGAUGUGUCCUUACCUGAAAAUGGACGCAAUGUUGACAUCGCCAAAGAACAGAUCCAAAAAUUAGUUUGCAAUUAAUUCCCAUUUCAAAUUAUGAAGAUAGAAAACAAGGAAUAAAGAACUCAUCUUUUCAAUUGUUCACUUCGGGUAAACAUAUCACAUCACUUCAAUAUAAG
rnacentral:lncRNA from 1 species